GACGAACGCUGGCGGCGUGCUUAACACAUGCAAGUCGAACGGAUAGGCCCCCUUGUGGGGUACUCGAGUGGCGAACGGGUGAGUAACACGUGAGUAACCUACCCUUGACUUUGGGAUAACUACAGGAAACUGGGGCUAAUACCGGAUAGGAGCUCCUGCUGCAUGGUGGGGGUUGGAAAGUUUCGGCGGUUGGGGAUGGACUCGCGGCUUAUCAGCUUGUUGGUGGGGUAGUGGCUCACCAAGGCUUUGACGGGUAGCCGGCCUGAGAGGGUGACCGGCCACAUUGGGACUGAGAUACGGCCCAGACUCCUACGGGAGGCAGCAGUGGGGAAUAUUGCACAAUGGGCGGAAGCCUGAUGCAGCAACGCCGCGUGCGGGAUGACGGCCUUCGGGUUGUAAGCCGCUUUCGCCUGUGACGAAGCGUGAGUGACGGUAAUGGGUAAAGAAGCACCGGCUAACUACGUG
rnacentral:rRNA from 1 species